UACGUAGGGUGCGAGCGUUGUCCGGAAUUAUUGGGCGUAAAGAGCUCGUAGGCGGUGUGUCGCGUCGGCCGUGAAAACUUGCAGCUUAACUGUGGGCGUGCGGUCGAUACGGGCAUCACUGGAGUUCGGCAGGGGAGACUGGAAUUCCUGGUGUAGCGGUGAAAUGCACAGAUAUCAGGAGGAACACCGGUGGCGAAGGCGGGUCUCUGGGCCGAUACUGACGCUGAGGAGCGAAAGCGUGGGGAGCGAACAGG
rnacentral:rRNA from 1 species